AACGAACGCUGGCGGCAUGCCUAACACAUGCAAGUCGAACGGGAAGUGCCUUUCGGGGCACUGAGAGUGGCGGACGGGUGAGUAGCGCGUGGGGAUCUGCCUUUGAGAGGGGGAUAACUGCGGGAAACUGCAGCUAAUACCGCAUAACGCCUGAGGGCGAAAGGAGCAAUCCGCUUGAAGAGGAGCCCGCGUCGGAUUAGGUAGUUGGUGGGGUAACGGCCUACCAAGCCAACGAUCCGUAGCUGGUCUGAGAGGAUGAUCAGCCACACUGGGACUGAGACACGGCCCAGACUCCUACGGGAGGCAGCAGUGGGGAAUAUUGCGCAAUGGGCGAAAGCCUGACGCAGCGACGCCGCGUGGGUGAUGAAGGCCUCGGUCGUAAGA
rnacentral:rRNA from 1 species